GGGUCUGUAGCUCAGAUGGUAGAGCACACCCCUGAUAAGGGUAAGGUCGGUAGUUCAAGUCUGCCCAGACCCA
rnacentral:tRNA from 1 species